CCUACGGGUGGCAGCAGUGGGGAAUAUUGCGCCAUGGGCGAAAGCCUGACGCAGCGACGCCGCGUGAGGGAUGAAGGUCUUCGGAUCGUAAACCUCUGUCAGCAGGGAAGAACGGUCACUGUGCUAAUCAGCAGUGACUUGACGGUACCUGCAAAGGAAGCACCGGCUAACUCCGUGCCAGCAGCCGCGGUAAUACGGAGGGUGCGAGCGUUAAUCGGAAUUACUGGGCGUAAAGCGCUCGUAGGCGGUAGGUCAAGUCAAGGGUGAAAUCCCCGCGCUCAACGUGGGAACUGCCUUUGAAACUGGCAAACUGGAGUGUGUGAGAGGAUAGUGGAAUUCCAGGGGGAGGAGUGAAAUCCGUAGAUAUCUGGAGGAACAUCAGUGGCGAAGGCGACUAUCUGGCACAUAACUGACGCUGAGGAGCGAAAGCGUGGGUAGCAAACAGGAUUAGAUACCCUUGUAGUC
rnacentral:rRNA from 1 species